AUCCCUAACAAGCAAAGAAUUGGUUCACAGCAGUGCACGGUCUUUAGCAAUGUGGCCAUAGAUCCGAUACAGAAUGAGCAACAUGUCUCCGAUAUAAGGAAGUCUGGAACGGUUAUACCGAUUAUACUCAGAAGGUUCUAUUAACUUUCAGAGCGAUGCAGAUUUACUUUAGCAUAAACCACAUCGUAAUUCAUGGAAUUAAACCAUAUAUAUAUAUCACAAUAUGAUUUGUACUUAAGCACUAUAUAUUUUACUUAAAAAGAAUAUUAUAUAUAUAUGGUACUCUGUUUUGUGACGAUGCCGUUUUAUGCCAUAUAUAACCUAUGAAACUUGUCUCUCUGGGCAGCCCUAGGAAAGUAUUGGGCUUUUAAUAUUAGACCGCAUUUUUUUAAGAAUGUGUAAAACAAGAUCUCCAUUAAAAGGUGCGCAUUUAAACCGAUUUUUUUUGAGUAAAAACUUACAAUGGCGAAUAUUAACCGUGCAAUGCACGUGACACAGUAUACAUUGGCACGUUUCCAAAUGUACGUCUUCAUCUGACCUAUUAAUGCAUAACUUGUGUUUAAUGUGACAUUUGACCCGUGGCACAGUGACGUGCUAUGAGCUUCGGGUAGUUUCCUCGCUUUAUUCGUGGCCUCUCGUUCUGACUUUAUAAACUGCUGAGAAGAUAACGGGCACCUCAACCUGACAUGCUUACAGAAAUAAAGAUUUUAAUGAUGUAUGCUGCCGCAAAGCGACCGAUUUCACGACAAACGCAGGUGAUAUUACAGCUGAUUCUGAUUAUUUCAAACACUGGGUCGUGAUCUGCAGGAGAAAUUGUGCAGAAGCAUCAACAACAGUUAAAGGCAAGGACUAGGAGCCUUUUUUUUGGCAAAUGAGGCAAGCCGGAAUCUUGAAGGCCUGUUCAUCAUGCAUCAACUGUUCCCAUUGGCGUCUUUUCCUUAUUUACAAAGUCCUCAGUGUCACUCAGAGAGAGAAGCAAGAUUAUGGAUCACGGCCCGAUUUAAAAACAAAGGAUCACGGGCUUUGGUUCUGUGUAUGUAUGUGUGUCAAUCAGUGUGCAAGAAAAAGAGAAGGGGUGUGUGUGUGUGUGUGUGUCUGUGUGUGUUUUGGGGUGGGGGGUGUGGGUGGGGGCGAGGGUUGAACUGGAGAAUAAAAUCACGGAUAAAAUAUACAGCGGGCACAGUUCAGUACACCAUCAGCCAGUUCUCCACUUAAUUCAAUGUCUGUACUUGAUUUCAAAUGCUGUGCAUUAAACAAU